UUGAUUCAUAGGGUUGAGAUGGACGAUGAUUCAACUCCGCAUCCUAAUUCUGUUGAAACUCCCCGAACUAACCAGCCUCCACCAGUUCCUAAAUUCAGUGCGGGCUUUAAGGGAAAACAACCUGGAUCACUACCAAAUGAUUCAACUCCUUGUCCUAAUUCUGUUGAAACUUCCCGAACUAACCAGCUUCCACCAGUUCCUAAAUUCAGUGCGGGCGUCAAGGGAAAACAACCUGGAUCACUACCAAAUGAUUCAACUCCUCAUCCUAAUCCUGUUGAAACUUCCCAAACUAACCAGCUUCCACCAGUUCCUAAAUUCAGUGCGGGCGUUAAGGGAAAACAACCUGGACCACUGCCAACUGUAUGGGAUCACUUCAUUAAACUCGAAAAUGAUGGCCUUAUCGAGCCUAGAUAUGAAUGCAAUUACUGUGGGGAGGAA
rnacentral:lncRNA from 1 species